UAGGUGGCAGACGAGAAUGGAUCUACUGUGAAGGACUGAGAAUAUAUAUUCCCGAUCUGAUUAACAGAUAGAUUCUGAUUAAUGCUUUUGUUGCUGUCG